UACGGAGGGUGCAAGCGUUAUCCGGAUUUACUGGGUUUAGAGGGUGUGUAGGCGGACUUUUAAGUCAGCGGUGAAAUCUCCGGGCUCAACCCGGAAACUGCCAUUGAUACUAUUGGUCUUGAAUGUUGUUGAGGUGGGCGGAACGGGUCAUGUAGCGGUGAAAUGCAUAGAUAUGACCCGGAACACCGAUUGCGAAGGCAGCCCACUAAGCAAUGAUUGACGCUGAGGCACGAAAGCGUGGGGAUCAAACAGG
rnacentral:rRNA from 1 species